UGCAAUGUUUCAAAACAGAUUUUCAAAUAAAUUCCUUCAACUAGGUGGCUUGCUGUCAAAGGCUAACCUAUGGAGGAAUGCACACCACAGCAGGAAUGUGCAUCUUGGCCCAAUUCCUGCCAGAAACUGCUGGAAUCUUGGCACGCUAGAGGUUGGGGACACAGAGAUGAACAAGAUAUCCUUCACGGAUUUUAAGAUCUGACAGACAAGACCAGGAGCUCCUCAACCUGGCCUGCUAUGACCUGCUGCACUGGAGCAUCAAAACUGUUUGUGACACCAAGAGGACCAAGUGAUGCAGGGGUGCUGAUGUACAUGGACUCAGGCCAUGGCACU